rnacentral:rRNA from 1 species
AGCGAACGCUGGCGGCAGGCCUAACACAUGCGAGUCGAACGAACCCUUCGGGGUUAGUGGCGUACGGGUGAGUAACACGUGGGAACGUGCCUUUAGGUUCGGAAUAACUCAGGGAAACUUGUGCUAAUACCGAAUGUGGCCUUCGGGGGAAAGCUUUAUCGCCUUUAGAGCGGCCCGAGUCUGAUUAGCUAGUUGGUGAGGUAAUGGCUCACCAAGGCUACGAUCAGUAGCUGGUCUGAGAGGAUGACCAGCCACAUUGGGACUGAGACACGGCCCAAACUCCUACGGGAGGCAGCAGUGGGGAAUCUUGCGCAAUGGGCGAAAGCCUGACGCAGCCAUGCCGCGUGGAUGAUGAAGGUCUUAGGAUUGUAAAAUCCUUUCACCGGUGAAGAUAAUGACUGUAGCCGGAGAAGAAGCCCCGGCUAACUUCGUGCCAGCCGCCGCCGUAAUAC